ACGAGCCGUAUAAAGGGAAACUUUCACGUACGGUUCUGAAUGGGAGGGGAUGGAGGCGACUCCAU
rfam:Arthrospira platensis NIES-39 DNA, nearly complete genome.